rnacentral:rRNA from 1 species
GUUAGGGAGGAGCCGAUUAUCCCGAGGUCGUGCGGGGCGUCCAAGUCCUUCUUGAAGGGGCCACAGCCCAUAGAGGGUGCCAGGCCCGUAGCGACCGCUGCCGAUCGCGGGAGGAUCUCUCCUCAGAGUCGGGUUGCUUGAGAGUGCAGCCCUAAGUGGGUGGUAAACUCCAUCUAAGGCUAAAUAUGACCACGAGACCGAUAGCGAACAAGUACCGUGAGGGAAAGUUGAAAAGCACUUUGAAGAGAGAGUUCAAGAGUACGUGAAACCGUUCAGGGGUAAACCUGAGAAACCCGAAAAGUCGAAAGGGGAAAUUCAUUCGCGUCUCGACCGUCGGAGUGGAGCGAUCGAGCGACGGACGGCGUACGCGUCGUCCGCGCCUUUCGUUUUACGUUUCGGCGUCGAACGCGUGCACUUUUCCCCUAGUAGGACGUCGCGAUCCGUUGGGCGUCGGUCUAAGGUCCGCGGUGGAGCCCGGGCGUGCGUCUUCGGACGUUUGCGCUCGGACCCGCGGUAUCCCGGCCGACUCGCUCGACGGUAUACAGAUGGCGCGGGGCCGCUAUUUCAAUUAGCGUUCGGCCCGCGGCAAGCGCGUACGGUGUUGUCGACGAUCGGACCUGGUGCCGGUCUCGUCCCCGGACGACUGUUGGCCGCGGUUUUCUCGAACAGACCUCGUUACGAAACGCCGAUCUGCGACGCUAUAGCUUUGGGUACUUUCAGGACCCGUCUUGAAACACGGACCAAGGAGUCUAGCAUGUGCGCGAGUCAUUGGGACAUAACUAAACCUAAAGGCGCAAUGAAAGUGAAGGUCCGUCUCGCGCGGACCGAGGGAGGAUGGGCGAUUC